UUAAGCUAUAAAGAGCGCAGGGUGGAUGCCUUGGCACUAAGAGCCGAUGAAAGACGUGAUAAGCUGCGAAAAGCUUCGGGGAGGAGCAAAUAUCCUUUGAUCCGGAGAUAUCUGAAUGGGGAAACCCGGCUGAGCAAACCUCAGUCACUGCAUGGUGAAUCCAUAGCCAUGCAGGGGGAACCCGGUGAACUGAAACAUCUAAGUAGCCGGAGGAAGAGAAAGAAACAUCGAUUCCCAAAGUAGCGGCGAGCGAAAUGGGAAGAGCCCAAACCAGCGUGCGUGCAUGCUGGGGUUAUGGACUGCGUACGUGAACCGAUUUGUUAGUGGAACUGUCUGGGAAGUCAGGCCGGAGAGGGUGAAAGCCCCGUACACGAAAACAAUAGGAAGCAGCAGGAUCCAGAGUACCACGAGACACGAGAAACCUUGUGGGAAGUCGGAGGGACCACCCUCCAAGGCUAAAUACUCCUUAGUGACCGAUAGCGCAUAGUACUGUGAAGGAAAGGUGAAAAGGACCCCGGGAGGGGAGUGAAAAAGAACCUGAAACCCUGUGUUUACAAGCUGUGGAAGCACGUUAAGGUGCAACCGCGUACUUUUUGUAGAACGGUCCGGCGAGUUGCCGGUACUGGCAAGGUUAAGAGCUUAAGGCUCGGAGCCGAAGGGAAACCAAGUCUCAAAUGGGCGUCAAGUCAGUACAGGCAGACCCGAAACCGGGUGACCUAUCCAUGUCCAGGUUGAAGCGGAAGUAAAAUUCCGUGGAGGACCGGAUCCACAUCCGUUGAAAAGGGUGGGAAUGAGGUGUGGAUAGGGGAGAAAUUCCAAUCGAACCCGGAGAUAGCUGGUUCUCCUCGAAAUAGCUUUAGGGCUAGCCUCAUGCAAGUCUUACGGAGGUAGAGCACUGAAUUCCUAAGGGGGCGUCAAAGCUUACCAAGGGAUAUCAAACUCCGAAUGCCGUGUAGAUGGUGCAUGGGAGUCAGACUAUCCGAGAUAAGUUGGGUAGUCAAAAGGGAAAGAGCCCAGACCUACAGCUAAGGUCCCAAAAUGUGUGUUAAGUGGAAAAGGAUGUGGGAUUUCGAAGACAACUAGGAUGUUGGCUUAGAAGCAGCCAUCCAUUAAAAGAGUGCGUAAUAGCUCACUAGUCGAGAGGUCCUGCGCCGAAAAUGUCCGGGGCUGAAACACACUACCGAAGCUUGGGAAUUGACGAAUGUUAAUUGGUAGAGGAGCAUUCUUAACGGGGCGAAGCUGUACCGGAAGGAGCAGUGGACUGUUAAGAAGAGAGAAUGCCGGAAUGAGUAGCGAGAGGAAGGUGAGAAUCCUUCCGGCCGAAUAUCUAAGGUUUCCAGAGUAAAGCUGAUCUGCUCUGGGUAAGUCGGGGCCUAAGGCGAGGUCGAAAGACGUAGUCGAUGGAUAACAGGUAAAGAUUCCUGUACUGUAUCAUAACAGAACUGUGGGGACGCAGACAGAGAGCAUAAGCCGGGAAUGGAAAGACCGGUACAAGCGAGGUAGGAGUGCAUCAGGCAAAUCCGGUGCACAAUCUGAAGACGUGAUGUGGGGCGUAAAGCCGGAAGUAUGUGAGCUGGCUGCCAAGAAAAGCCGCUAUUGUUUAUGAUAUACCCGUACCGUAAACCGACACAGGUGGAUGAGGAGAGAAUCCUAAGGCCGACGGGAGAAGCAUUGUUAAGGAACUCGGCAAAAUGACUCCGUAACUUCGGGAGAAGGAGUGCCAUGUAAAAGUGGCCGCAGAGAAUUGGCCCAAGCAACUGUUUAGCAAAAACACAGGUCUAUGCAAAACCGAAAGGUGAGGUAUAUGGGCUGACGCCUGCCCGGUGCUGGAAGGUUAAGGGGAGAGGUUAGCCGUAAGGCGAAGCUUUGAACUUAAGCCCCAGUAAACGGCGGCCGUAACUAUAACGGUCCUAAGGUAGCGAAAUUCCUUGUCGGGUAAGUUCCGACCCGCACGAAAGGCGUAAUGAUUUGGGCACUGUCUCAACAAUGCACCCGGUGAAAUUGAAAUACCAGUGAAGAUGCUGGUUACCUGCGCCAGGACGGAAAGACCCCAUGGAGCUUUACUCCAGCUUGAUACUGGGAUUCGAUAUUGCAUGUACAGGAUAGGUGGGAGACUGAGAACUGAUGACGCCAGUUGUCAGGGAGUCACUGUUGGGAUACCACCCUUGUAGUAUUGGAUUUCUAACCAGCAGCCGUGAACCGGCUGGGGGACAAUGUCAGGUGGGGAGUUUGACUGGGGCGGUCGCCUCCGAAAGGGUAUCGGAGGCGCUCAAAGGU
rnacentral:rRNA from 1 species